UUUUUUUUUUUUUUUUUUUUUUGGAAUGGUCAGUUUCCCCAGAAAGAAAUCCUUGGAAUCCUUCAAUUUUUUUAAUAUGUGAUAUAAAUCUAGCUGCUAAUAUUCUGUCUGGUGUUCUAGCUGUCUAUUCUAAUUACAUGAACUUUUUUGUAUAUCUGGUUUCUAAAAAGUUCUUUGUGUCAGGAAACUUAUUUUUAUUUUUAUUUUUUUUGUCUUUUUUGCUAUUUCUUGGCCAGCUGCCGUGGCAUAUGGAGGUUCCCAGGAGCUCAAAGACAUUACAUGAAAAAAGCAAAGUAUACAAGACUGUGAACUAUGUAUAUUUCAUGUACACAGAAUGGAAUGGCAGACAGAAAGACUGGAGACCAAUAGGGGAGAAAGUAGGGGGAGGAUAGAUUUAUGUAAAAUUAUAUCCUUUCGUAUCUUGUGAAUUUUGUUAAUAAUAUGUAUUUCACAUGAAAAUAAUUUACUGCAAAUAAAACUCAGAGCUGAGCUGAGUUUUAUAAAAUGACUCUUUUACUUGAGGCUGUAUCUGCCCUCAUCCUGAAAUAAAGAAUGCAUGUUACUGAUUCCAUGGGUGAAUGGGGGAGGCCCUGGAACAAGAGGAUCAAAAGAAUACUAGAACAAAGAUAUAUAGUUUUAAUAUCCCCAAAAGAUUCCUCACAUCACCACAGAAACUAGGCUAAGUUUCACUGUCUAACAUACUUCCAGUCCAUGAAUUUGUGAGACUGGAAGAAGGUAAAAUGGAACAAUGAGACUUCACAAUAUGCAUCUCAGAGGGAGGCCAGUUUCCAUCAAACACUUACAGGGUGGAAAGAGCUCCAGACUGGAGCAAACACUCAUUACAACCUUAUGACUUGUGCUGGAGAGUCCCACAGGCUUCAGAGAAGUUAGCAGCUUCCUGGGCCAACUCAUCUCUUCUAACAGUAGUUUAAAGUGGCACUCUAGGAGUUCCUGUCAUGGCACAGUGGUUAACAAAUCCAACUAGGAACCAUGAGGUUGCGGGUUCGAUCCCCGCCCUUGCUCAGUAGGUUAAUGAUCCGGUGUUGCCGUGAGCUGUGGUGUAGGUUGCAGAUGCGGCUCGGAUCCCGCAUUGCUGUGGCUCUGGCAUAGGCCGGCAGCUACAGCUCCGAUUAGACCCCUAGCCUGGGAACCUCCAUAUGCCGUGGGAGUGGCCCAAGAAAUGGCAAAAAGACAAAAAUAAAUAAAUAAAUAAAUAAAUGAAUAAAGUGGCACUCUAAAAGACCAAAGAGGAGUUCCCACUGUGGCACAACAGGAUCAGUGGUGUCUCUAGAACUCUGGCUCUCAGGUUCAAUCCCCAGCCUGGCACAGUGGGUUAAGGAUCCAGCAUUGCCACAGCUGCAGUGCAGGUUACAACUGUGGCUUGGAUCAGACCCCUGGCCUGGGAACGCCAUAUGCCAGUGGGGUGGCCAGAAAAGAAAAAGGAAAAAAAAAAAAAGAAGUAAAAGGCCAAAGAUUUGGGAACAAAAAUAGUUUUAUUAACUUUAAUCAUCUAAACCAGAGGCAAAACAAUCUAGUGGUUAAGAUUCUAAAAUAAAAGUAGGCCCAAAUCUCCAGAGAACCAUUUCAUGUCAUGUGGAAAAACGAAAAAUCUCUUAUAAGGUAUAACUACUUGGUAGAAAUUAUCUCAGGAAUGUUGUCCCCCAAUAAAACAAAAGCGAUAUUAAUUCAACUGAGGGCAAAAUGAACAGUGUGUCAAGGUCUACCAACCAGUUCCAUAGUGCCUUAAACAGCAGCAAAAUAGAGCAAAUUUCCUUCUGUACCAUGUUCUUAUCUUACAAGAAACAGCAUCUAUUGGCCCAAGGGAAAAACAGUACAACAACACAAAAGCAGCCUGGCUGAAGGUGGUUGUGGCUUUAUCUGCAGGAGCCCAUCAGCAGACAUAAGCCCACUUAAUUUGACUUAAACUCUUCCAAGCCUCCAACAGAGUAUUAUUUUCAGAAGAAACGGAUCAAAGCCAUUUUCUCUCUAAAAAAAUUCUACACAAUCCAUGUUCUAGAUAUAUAUUCGGGGUUUUUUUUUUUAGGAUUUUUAUUUUUUUCAUUACAGUUGGUUUACAGUGUUUUGUCAAUAUAUAUAUAUAUUUUUUUUCUCACAUUAUCCUCCUUCAUGUUCCAUCACAAGUGACUAGAUACAGUUCCUUGUGCUAUACAGCAGGAUCUCAUUGCUUAUCCACCCCAAAUGCAAUGGUUUGCAUCUAUUAACCCUAAACUCCCAGUCCACCCACUCCCUCUCCCUUCCCCUUGGCAACCACAAAUUUGUUCUCCAAGUCCAUGAGUUUCUUUUCUGUGGAAAGGUUCAUUUGUGCCAUAUAUUAGAUUCCAGAUAUAAGUGAUAUCAUAUGGUAUUUGUGUUUCUCUUUCUGACUUACUUCACUUAGUAUGAGAGGCUCAUGCUUGUAAAAAUGCUAGACUCCAAUGAAGAAGUCAGAGAAAGAUAAAAUUUUCUUAAAAAAUAAGAGUAAAAUGGCGACUUCCAAGAAGUAUUUAAUCUCAAAUACAAAGGUGAAAUAGAUUAAGCUGAGAUUAAAUGUCAAGUUUGUAGUUUGGACAAAUUCAACAGUUCAUUUUAAAAAUAAAAGUAGAUCUUACUGCUAGAGACUGCAUUCUGCCUACAGAACUAUUAUUACAUUUAAUACUAAGUAGAGUUAUGAGCUUCAACAGAUAGGCAAAUAAAUAACCUGAAAACAAUACUUUAUAUCCAUUUAGAGCAAAUGUUUCAUGUUUAACACAUCUGAGGUUGUUACUAUAUUUCAUGAAUGUCAUUCAAUAAACAUUUAUCAAAUACACACUAUGCCAGGCUCUGGGAAUUCAAUGGUGAGCAAAAAAAGACCUAGUCCUUGACUUCAUGGAGUUUACAGUCAAAUGAGAAAGACAAUUAAAUGGGUAAUAAUACUACAGUGUGUUAAGGCUAAGACAGAAGUACAAGGUGCAGUGGGGAAGCCAAACAGGUGCACCUGACCAGUGUGGGAAAGCGGGUGGGACAAUAAGUGGUGAAGAGAUUAAGACCCUUCCUAAAAGGUUUCGAAAGUAAACCAAGACUUUAAGAAUCACUAGAGGGGGAGCUCUUAUCCCACCUCCCAGUAGCCCUGGGAGCUAUCUGCUUUCCUUUAAUAAAGACUUUGCUUGCUUGCUGCCUGUGUGUUCGCGGAGUUCAUUCUUUGACUGCCUUAAACAAGAACUCAGAUUCCAGUAUCAUCUUUCCGGUAUCAUCUUUUUGGGGGCUCGUCUGAGAUCCGAUCCAAUACAUCUGCACCCACAAGGUUUAACAGAAGUCAAGUAAGACAUUGAGACAUCAGUUACUAAACAGGAAAACCUCCAGGAACAGAUUCAUAAGAUGUCAGAUCCAACUCCAGCUUUUGGAGCUGCCCUCUGGAAUUGGUUGACCUCCUCCUCCUGGUGAAAAUAUUUCCUUACCACAGCCAUCAUUGUGAUCUUGAUCCUAUUAUUUGGACCCUGUAUAGUUAAUUGUAUUUCCCAUUUCAUUACAUCCCAAUUAGAAGCUAUCAACCUUCAUAUGGUGAUAGAAGGGGUACCCAAUGUAAUGUAUCAAAGCCCACUCAACCAUCCCAUGACUGGAGACCUAAUUGCUUUCCCCUAACGAUGCCCCUUUUCAGCAGGAAGCAGCCAGAACAGCUGUCACCCCUUUUCUCCCCGCUUGGUUAACAGUCUCCAACUCUAGAGGGGGGAUUGAGGCAGAAUAUUAACUCAGGUAGUCAGUGUAGGAGCAUGGGCCUUGAUGCAUUUUUUGAUAUGGCCAUUGAUUAACACUGUUGCUUAAGGGCUCCAAGGGAGUAAUAUCCCCACAGGCCUUGUUUACUAUAGGGAGUGUACCUAUGCCCAGAUGGACAUUAAUCCCUAAUCUCCUGUAAACUAUGAGACUUUCAGGACAUUUCCACCCCUAAGAUCCUAUUGGACAAGGACUGAUAUAGAUAAUUGAACAAGGCCAGUGGGAGAAAACCACAUCUUUCUGGACCCCACACUGGUACCUCCCCCCAUCUUUAAGGGAUAAAAACCCCUAUAGGAUGAUAGAGAAAGGGGGCUCUUCUCCCUGCUUCCAGCAGCCCUGGGAGCUAUCUGCUUUCCUUUAAUAAAGACUUUGCUUGCUUGUUUAAAAAAAAAAAAAAAAGAAUCACUGGAACUUAUUCAAAGGGAAAGAGGAAGAAGGUUCCAGGUAAAGGAAGUCUUCUACUUGUAUAAGAGUGGAGAAGCAAGGUAGGACAGAGAAGGGAAAAAAUAUAGUGCAUUUGAAAAGUUAAAAGUACUUAAUUCACUUCUUAGGAGAAUGAAUAAAAACAUCCUCCAUUCACUCCUCAAUUUCAUUUGCUUACUGAUUCCAUUAAUAUUUAUUGGGCUCUAAUAAAGUUAAUUCAUAUAUCAGGACCUACAAAGUGGAGGUGACCCCACUGAGCUGGUCCACAUCAUCGCAAAUCUAAACCUAAGUCAGCCUGCACUUAGGGGCAACACCUCACUGUCAAGGAAACCCAACACACACUAAUCAUAAUCCUCCCACUCAGGGUCAGGUAGCUAGAAAAGAGGACCUGCUUGCCUAAUAAGGAACCCCCUGAGCACCUAGCCAGUCAUCCCCUGUUUUUGAGCUGCCUCUUCUAAUGCUCUAUAAAACUUGCUUUUGCCCCAAAUCCCUACAGAAGUCUAUUUUCCCUUGAAUAAAGGAUAUCUAACUUGUUACUAAAUUGCUUUAGUUUUUUCAUUUCACAGCUCCUACUCCUAGGCAGCUGCCUUAUUCAAUAAGCAAGGUAUCCUUAACUUUUUCAAAUUACAAAGCCCAAAUAGGAGUCCCUGCUGUGGCGCAACGGGAUCGCCAGCAUCUUGGGAGCACUGGGACGCAAGUUCAAUCCCUGGCCCAGCACAGUGGGUUAAGAAUCGGGCAUUGCUACAGGUGUGGCAUAGGUUGCAAAUGUGGUUCAGAUUUGAUCCCUGGCCCAGGAACUUCAUAUUCCACAGAGCAGCCAAAAAAGAAAAAAAAUGAAAGAAACAAAGCCCCGAUAAAAGGAAAUCAAUACACCCUAUAAAGGCUCUCUCUCUUGGGAUGAUUACAUUACACAUAAUUCAUUUGAAAAACAACCGGGGGCAGGGACAUGUUGCAAAACUGGUAAGUUCUCUGAGAAGGAAUUAAGUUUUUAAAUAAUUGGUUUAUUUAUUUUCCCAUUUUCCUUAUCCCACUGCCUCUGAAAUUUCCGAAUAUGUACAUCUUAUAGUUCAGUGGGUCAGAAAUUUGACACAGGUCUUGAUGGGAUAAAAUCAGGGUGUCAGCAAGGCUGCAUUCCUUCUGGAGUCUCCAAGGGAAGAAUCUGUUUUCUUGAUUUGUUCCACCUUUUAAGGGCUGUUCUCAUUCUUGCUUUUGGCUCUCUUUUCUCCAUCUUUAACAUAGGGGCUAAUCAAGUUCUUUUUCACAAUACAUCACUCUGACUCUCUCUUCUGCCUCCCUUUUCCAUUUUUAAGGAUUCUUAUGAUCAUAUUGGACCCACCAGCAUAAUCUAGGAUAAUCUCUGUGUUUUAAGGUCAACUGAUUAGCAACCUUAAUGGCAUCUGUUACACCUAACAUAAUCAGAGGUUCUGAGGAUUAGGAAUGACUGGGGAGUCAUCAUUCUUUCUACCACAGCAUAUUAAAUGAGUGUUUAUGGUUACUGAUUACAGUCAACAUUGAGGAAGUUGCAAUGGUGGCCUUUCUACUCCCAUGAUUUAAAAAAAAAAAAAAAAAAAAACAACUGUGCAAAAUCAUACCGUCAAAGAAAAACAUGCAUUCUAAAAGUACUCUAGGUAGAAACCAGAUGACUAUAGAAAUAAGAAAGAGUAUUUAAAACAGCUAAGAGGAAAGAUGACAUAUGAAGUAGGUCUUAAAAGCACAGGUAGGAUCCGUAAUAGGCAGAAAUGAGAAUGUGCUGAUAUUUCCGGUGGGGGCUUUGCAUGACCAGAUGGAAGGAAGAUUUUUUUUUUUUUUAAAGGAAGACAUAUAUAAAAAGUCCCAAUUGGAUGGAGUGAAGAGUACUCAAUGGGAAGCGGAUAGAACUGAGAACGUCAAGGAGAAAGUGGUCAAAAAUUCAAAUGUGGCAGAAAUAAAGGAACAGAGAAGUCACUGGAGUUUUAAUUAGUGGAUCACCAGUAAACUUCAAAUAAAUACUCAGUCAGGUGCCAGCGGCAGGAGACAGAUUGCAGCUUUUACAGAAGUGGGCUGGCAGCAAGUGUAAAUGAUUACUUUCACAAAUCUAGUUUUAAAAAGCAAAAUCUUGAUUCAAUCCCUGGUCCGGAAACUUCCACCCAACACAAGCGUGGCCUUAAAAAAAUUUUUUUUAAAAAGCAAAAUUUCUUUAAAAAGAAGUUUGGUAGUAUACAGUAUGCCAAGGGCAAGAAAUCAAUGAAACUGGUCAGAUAAAGAAGAAUAACAGUAAAAAGCAGAUCAAAGACAAAAGGUUGCAAACCUCCAGUCAAUAUACAAAGGUAAAGGACUUUAUAUUAAUUUACUGUAUCAGUUAAAAAUCAUUUAAAAUUUUAAUUUUAGGGAUCAAUAGUAAGGCAAGAUUUAGCUACUAAACUCAGUUUACACACAGAUUAAUGGGGGAGUUUCCAUCGUGGCUCAGCAGUAAUGAACCUGACUGGUAUCCAUGAGAAUGCAGGUUCGAUCGCUGGCCUUGCUCAGUGGGUUAAGGAUCUGGCAUUACCAUGAGCUGUGGUGUGGGUCACAUACAUGGCUCAGAUUCUGCGUUGCUAUGGCUGUGGCAUAGGCAGGCAGCUACAGCUCCAAUUCGACCCCUAGCCUGGGAACCUCUAUAUGCCAUGGGUGCGGCCCUAAAAAAAAAAAAAAAAAAAAAAAA
rnacentral:lncRNA from 1 species